GGAAGCAGACAUUAGUUUCUGGUAACAAUGGAGUUAGUUUCCUAGACCCUCCCUAGGGCCAUGUCACUAUAUACAGGAUGGCUUGGUGCUUGAAUUACCCAGUUACGGAUGUGAGAGCGACAUUAAAGGCAAAAGAGUGCAGCCAGCCAUGAAGAGACACGCCUAUGGACAGACAUUAUGGGACGAGAGCUCUCUUCCCCCGUUCAUAUUAAACCUCUUUCAUGAAUCCCUCAGCAGAGCAUAUUUUCCCCCAAAACCUUUGAGAAGCCAAUGAGGCUUGUUCAACUGGUUGGUGAAGAAAAAGUGACUUUAGGGCUGCCUGCCCGACCAAAUUAAAAAAGUUUAAAUGACACAUUUGGAUAUGAUUAUCCUGCUUCUCAGGCCUUAAGGACAAAGACUUAAAUCUGCUCCACUUCCCUCAGGCCCGUUCGCUCUCCUGCGCAGAUUAGCCUGCAGGGCUAGUGCGGGCAGUCAUGUCUACAGGAUUAGAUUUUGCUCUUCGAAGCUUGGCUAUACCACAUACAGGAACGACUGGACAUAGGCACUUGAACCGACACAAGGUUUAUCAGUAAGCACUCCAGGAGAGCGGAGAAUGUGCAACCAAUAUCCAUGGACGCCCUCACCCUGAAGGGCCAGAGACACUUGCUCAUGUUCAACACUUGUUAACAAGUAUUCUCUUAUGACGGCCCUGUGGAUCAUUGAGAGUUGAUCUCUUAUACUUUCAGCCGUCUAUUCCAGAGAACGAUAUAGACUGCGGUGGAUUUUCAUCAUACACAGCCCUCACUUGAUAUACUAGAACAACACGACUUCUGUUCAAUGAAGUGUCUUGGUGAUUCAAAGAGGAACAGUAGAUGUGUCACGGAUGAUCCGGGAUUUCUGCCAAGCCUUCAUUUAAUCCAAUAUAUUUGGAGGAAUGCUUGAGAGAACUCAGGCUUUUCUGUGUCUAUGAUUCAUCUAAUGCAAAUUCAGUGCUCAGAAGGCUAUUAAGCGAGGGUGCUCAUUUUUCUUUGGAAGUUAAUUACAGUAAUCACCAUAGCGGUAUAGAUAGAAUACACACUGUAGUGUUAUUCUGACCUCACAUUCCUCCCAAUAAAGGAUGUAUGUGAACAUCCAGUGAAAACUGCCAUCGCUGGUUGAAAAAGAACACUGUAUUUUAUCAACUAUAUUUAUAUUUUAUUAAUAACCAAGAAGAUGCUAAAUUAACCAGAGAAGAUUGGCUGAAUGUUGCUCUGUGGAAACAAAUAUCAACAAGAUCAAACAAAUCUUGAGCCCUCCGAGUUAUAAAGUGCUGGCCAAGCAAAGAGAGAGGAGAGAAUGCAAAUGUGCAUUGCUGCAGUGACUCAGAGUGCCAGCGUGCUGCCCAUGGGGAGAGGCUCACUGGCAUCACAAGCCAUCACAGUGAUAGGAUUCACUCACUAGAAAUGUGCUAAUCUUGCCAUUUCUAAUUUGUCUCCAUAUAGCACUGUAAAGGAAAUAAGAGAGUCGGACAGAAACAUCAGCACACAUAGUCAUACUGGAGAGCCCGAGUCGCACUAAAACACUGCAGUGUCAGAAUAUGACAGCAUACAGUACCUGCCACAAUUUGUUCUUGUGCUCCAUCCGCAGACCCUGCAGGAGAUUUGUUAGAUUGAGAGGACUGCCAGUGAGCUGGAACUGGCCAUUGCUGAAAAAUAAAUAAAAAAAUAUCAAAACAAAAAACCCUGAAAGCAGUGCAGACUAUAGGAGGACUGCAAACCAACCCACUAUAAAAUCUAAAAAUGUAUGUAUACUGUACAUAUUAAAAACAAUUUGUGAUAACUUC